GACGAACGCUGGCGGCGUGCUUAACACAUGCAAGUCGAACGAAGUGGCGCACGGGUGAGUAACGCGUAAUCAACCUGCCCCUCAGAGGGGGACCACAGUUGGAAACGACUGCUAAUACCUCAUACUGAAGGAGGGGAUUGGGUGUGAUUAGCGAGUUGGAGGGGUAACGGCCAACCAAGGCGAGGAUCAGUAGCCGGGCUGGGAGGAUGAACGGCCAAAAUGGGACUGAGACACGGGCCAGACUCCUACGGGAGGCAGCAGUGGGGAAUCUUCCGAAAUGGACGAAAGGCUGACGGAGCAACGCCGCGUGAGUGAUGACGGCCUUCGGGUUGUAAAGCUCUGUUAAUCGGGACGCGGUACCGGAAUAGAAAGCCACGGCUAACUACGUGCCAGCAGCCGCGGUAAUAC
rnacentral:rRNA from 1 species